UACAGAGGUCUCGAAGCGUUGUUCGGAUUCAUUGGGCGUAAAGGGUGCGUAGGCGGCGCGGUAAGUCGGGUGUGAAAUCUCGGAACUUAACUCCGAAACUGCAUUCGAUACUGCCGUGCUUGAGGACUGGAGAGGAGACUGGAAUUUACGGUGUAGCGGUGAAAUGCGUAGAUAUCGUAAGGAAGACCAGUGGCGAAGGCGGGUCUCUGGACAGUUCCUGACGCUGAGGCACGACAGCGUGGGGAGCAAACAGG
rnacentral:rRNA from 1 species